AGUGAACGCUGGCGGUAGGCCUAACACAUGCAAGUCGAACGGCAGCACAGUAAGAGCUUGCUCUUACGGGUGGCGAGUGGCGGACGGGUGAGGAAUACAUCGGAAUCUACUUUUUCGUGGGGGAUAACGUAGGGAAACUUACGCUAAUACCGCAUACGACCUACGGGUGAAAGCAGGGGAUCUUCGGACCUUGCGCGAUUGAAUGAGCCGAUGUCGGAUUGGCUAGUUGGCGGGGUAAAGGCCCACCAAGGCGACGAUCCGUAGCUGGUCUGAGAGGAUGAUCAGCCACACUGGAACUGAGACACGGUCCAGACUCCUACGGGAGGCAGCAGUGGGGAAUAUUGGACAAUGGGCGCAAGCCUGAUCCAGCCAUACCGCGUGGGUGAAGAAGGCCUUCGGGUUGUAAAGCCCUUUUGUUGGGAAAGAAAAGCAGCAGGUUAAUACCCCGCUGUUCUGACGGUACCCAAAGAAUAAGCACCGGCUAACUUCGCG
rnacentral:rRNA from 1 species